rnacentral:rRNA from 1 species
CCUACGGGUGGCAGCAGUGGGGGAUAUUGCACAAUGGGGGGAACCCUGAUGCAGCGACGCCGCGUGGGUGAAGGAGUAUUUCGGUAUGUAAAGCCCUAUCGGCAGGGAAGAAAUUGGACGGUACCUGACUAAGAAGCCCCGGCUAACUACGUGCCAGUAGCCGCGGUAAUACGUAGGGGGCAAGCGUUAUCCGGAUUCACUGGGUGUAAAGGGAGCGUAGACGGCCAUGCAAGCCAGGGGUGAAAGCCCGGGGCCCAACCCCGGGACUGCCCUUGGAACUGCAUGGCUGGAGUGCGGGAGGGGCAGGCGGAAUUCCUGGUGUAGCGGUGAAAUGCGUAGAUAUCAGGAGGAACACCGUCGGCGAAGGCGGCCUGCUGGACCGCGACUGACGUUGAGGCUCGAAAGCGUGGGGAGCGAACAGGAUUAGAUACCCUGGUAGUC